UAUUAAAACAAAAAAAAUGUCUUAUCUACACAAAAGAGAUAUUUUUAAAAAAAUAUAUUUUUUACAUUCGAAAUUUGAAAUUAUAAGAUAAUAUGUCACUACAAGAAUAAAGCCUAUUAGCGGCGUUAUUAUUAGCGGCGGACUUGGGGGUCCGCCGUUAAUAAUAAGGGAGUAUUUAAAAAAAUAUUAAAAAAUUUAUUAGCGGCGGACUGUACCAUUAGUAGCGGCGGGCCUCCGCCGCUAAUAUUCCAAAAUAAAUGCUCGGGAACAGUUUUUGAAAAUUUAUUAGCGGCGGAUAAUCACCUAUAUUAGAGGCGGACUAUCCGCCGCUAAUAGUAUCAGCGGCGGGUAAUCACCUUUUUUUAGAGGCGGGCCCCGCCGCUAAUAAUAUUAAUGGCGGCGGGAGACGAUAAUAGCGGCGGGUCCCGCCGCUAAUGCUCAACAAUAAUAGGCAUUUGCACAACCCUUUCUUCUCCGCGUCUCUUCUCUUCUCCGAAGGAAAACUUCUCUUCUCCGACGAGAAAUUUUGCACAGGUUUGUUUUGGGUCUAUUAUAUAUAUAUAUUAAUUCUCUUUAUUUCUUUUCUUUUUUCGUUUGGUUUUGAUAAACAAACUCCAUUUCUUGUUUUCUUUUUUGAUAAACAACUCUAUUGUUUGUUCUUUUCUUUUUUGGGUUUAGCAGUCGGUGAGCAUUCCGUGAGGCAUCUUCCGUGAGCAUUCCUGUGGCUCUUCCUGAGGACAGCGACACACCCACGACCCCGACACACACACGACCUUGGCACACCCUCAACAGCCCCGUCGACGAGAAGAAAAGGUCGUGGCCCUGCUAGUAAUAAUGUUCUUGAAGAACGAAGGAAAAAAGCUGGGAAACCAUUGGAUCUAGAGCUUGAUCCUGUGACCAACAAAGUGGUUGGGCAGGAGGAUCAAGCUUUUAUUCGCAUGUUGGGAACUCUAGUUUCCAUGUUGUGUCCGGGGCAUUAUUUGGAUUUUGCUGAUGUACCUCAACAGUUUAAGGAUCAAGUGCUUGAUCGUAUGAGGUAUUACUAUAAUAUAGACGGUCAUCCACAACGUGAGUCAAUUCUGGCAACUCUCAACAAGGAGAUGGGGGAAAGAUAUCGCGAGAGAAAGAACUAUAGACAUAGACACUUCAAAAAUCAUUAUGCUGGACCAGAAGAUUUGGAGAAUGUCCUCUCUAAGCCACCUAACCAUUG